AAGACCACAAACUGGGCUGCUAACCCAACUUUAAUGAACCUCAUUUGGUCUU
rnacentral:tRNA from 1 species